CUCCAAACAAGUCUUUGGUGGUGGCAGUGGCGGUGGCAAACUGGGGCACAAAAGCAGGGUGAACUAAAGACGUCUCCUCAGCCUGCCUUCCGCCCACCCCGAGCGCACCUGCUCCCUCCCUUUCAGGCUGUCGGGCCCGCCGAGGGGUCCCCGGUGGGGAGCGGGCUGGGUGGGGCCGGGUGGGUUACAAAAGCCGAUGAGUCUCGGCUCAUUGCUCCCUCUGCACCCGCUCCUCGAUGAGUCAGACCCAGACCUUACGGGACGCUGUUAGGGGUCAAUCACUCCCCCUCCCACCCUGGCAUUCAAUGUAGGAAGUCAGGUCUCUCCCCAGCCUCCUAGCAAGAGGAGGAAGGCCCACGGGCGCCCGAGAAACUUACCGAGGAAGCCUCGAUGCCCUCCCCCCACGCACACACGCAUGUACCCCCAUUGCUCCUUGCCCCCAGCUCAACGACCUUCUUUUUUAUUCCUAACAGUGAUGACUUUCACGACCCCGACCCCCCGCCUGAACCUGGGGAAGACGAGAUCGAGGUAACAGAGAGUCGAUUUGUUGUUGGGGUGGCACCCUCUUUUCUGGGGACGUGUGUCCUGGGAUGGGAGGUAAUCCACGGUAGUGUCUGUUUCCAACUUGAAAGCUCCUCUCUCCUACUGACUGGUGGAGUCCGUGGAGAAGGGUUGGCAUUCUUCCUAGACCCUGUGCCCACUCUGAGAUCUUGUUGCCCAGCUCCCAGGGCCUUUCUGCCUGCUGUGUCCCCACGUGUGCAUCAUCCCUACCCCUUGGCCACUUGCCCCAAGGAGGGAACAGGAAAUGCACCAGGGCAUUAGACCAGGUAGGAGUGGUGGGGGGAUUGGUGAGCAGAUCUGCCCUCAAUUGAGGCACUGUUAACACACGUGUGUGUGUGUGUGUGUGUGUGUGUGUGUGUGUGUGCGUGUGUGUGUGUGUGUGUGUGUGCUGGGGAAGGGAGGGUGGCCCAUGGGCUCUUGCCCUCUGCAGCUGUUAGAUGACACCCUUGACCUGGAAGCCGAGCAGGACCUGGAGUCUGAGUCCGAGUUGGAGUCCGAACUGGAACCAGAACCUCAGCUGCUCCCAGAAUCGGAGUCCGAGCUAGAAGACGAAGUCCCUGUCCCAGUCAGCGUCUUCGUUCAAACCUCCAAUCUGGCAUUUAGCCUGACCCCGAGGAAGAUGCCCCCGGGACCCAGAGUGAAUGUCCAGAUCCAGACGGCUGUUGGGCCCAAAGGGGCAUUGGAGUUAAGUAUUUCCCACGAGCCCCGGAGCCCGGAGCCCUUACCGGUGAAGGAUGGUCUGCACCAUACAUUCCGGUCAGUCUUUGUGCAAACCUCCAGGCACCUGUUCCGGAUAGACAAGCUGAUACAGGCGUCUGACCAUCGCCUCAAGCAGCCAUUAGGGAUAGGGUGCCACCCAUUCCCAAUGCGAGACUGGCCUUUCCAGAAAUCUUUUGGACGAACCUCCAAGGAAAGCCUGCUCUCUGGCAACAAAUUGUCCAAGAUGUUCAUGGAGGACGUUAGAAUCCAAACCUCUCACCCAAGCCUGGGCAUUGAAGGUUUCCCACCACAGACCCCCAUUCAAGUAUUACUACCAGAAAGGUCGCCCUCAGAAAUCCAGUUGCUACCUUCCCGAAGCUUGUCUGCUAAAUUCUCGGAGCCACUGGACUUCAGAAUACUAGACUUUCGUCCAACCUCUGCCAGCCUUCCCCCAGCGCUGGUUUCUAGUACUGCGACCUCUUGCAAUUCCUCUUCCACAGAGCUGAUACUAGAUUCCAAAGCUCUGAUUUCCUGCAAGUCUUCCACAGGGCUGAGAAUGAGCUCCAGGUCACCCAUGACCCAAGAAUCGACCACGGACCUUUCCAUAGCAACUGAGCAGCCAGUCUCACCUUUGCCCCUCCUGAAGCCACCAGAAGCAGGGGAGCCUCAGAAGUCCAUCAGCCAGGAAUUUGCCCCGAAGCCAGGCUAUGCUCUGAACAUGACCAAGGCAGCCUCAGAAAGAGCAUCCAUGGAAGGGGAAGUUAACCCUCUCCACUCUCCAUCUUUAGCUCCAGUGUCAUCGGGACCUUGGAAAGAGUGGUCAUCAGCAGAGCACCAGGAGAUCCACAGUGAUACAGAAAUUGUACAGGUGAUGGAGCUGUUGACUUUGAGGACUUCCUUGGGAUCCUGACAGACAAUCAUCGCUUUGCCCAAUGCAUGGAGCCCAUAGGUCAACGACCACAGUCAGAAGAGGGGACUGCAGAGCUGAGACCAGCUCCCUCCCCACCCACCCUGGUCCAGAGCCAACUCCCUUCCCCACCCCCUCCUACCCCACAGAGU
rnacentral:lncRNA from 1 species